UACCAAUAACAACGGAUUGGAGGCACCCCUGCCUGCUCCAAUAAAAUUGGAUACACUGUCUUUCUCAGCUAUCGAACAAUAAAGUCUAGGUGUCGAAUUUGACUUAUUGGCAGUAGUAGUUAAUUGUAGCGCCAUUCAAUAUACAACUGACCAAAGCAAGCAUUUUCAGAAAGCAAUUGUCAUACACUAGAGCAAGAAACCUUUCCUAUUUACUAUAUGGGGUGAUCUAGCCGACAAUGAAGGAGCUGAAUUACUAUACCAUCUACAUGAGUACCCUGUCAUUUUUGCGAGAUGUAAGGCGUUAUUGAAUUCUGUGGUGGUAUAUUCAUUAGCCCAUCUUCUGCAACUCUUCUUUUUACUUUUUGUUUCUCUAUAUUGAAUUAAAAAAGCUUUCCUCUCUUUCACAUACGCAGCUCUAAGACUAGCAACAAGAUAUCAGUCGACAAUCUCAACAAAUCCUCAGUAUGUGCAGGCUACUACACUGACAAACUGGGUGAAGCACAACGAGCGAAUGUUGUUGUCUUACACUUUAAGAAGCUCA